GUCCUGAUCCUACCUCCUGUGUGCUGGAGUUAUAAUGCUCACGCCCUGCAGCUGCUCAAAGACUCUGAAGCAAGGAAGGGGACCCAUAAGCCAGCAAGCGGCUCAGUGGAGUGGCAUCCCCACCCGAGAGACUUGGGGACCUGACAUGAGGAAUCAGGAGAGAAUUCCCAAGCCAGAGGCCGGCUGUGAAUCCAAGAACACAGAGAUCCAGUCUUGAGGGCAAUGUGUCCGGGCAGGAGUGGGUCUCCGUGGAAUCUCAGGCCGUCAGCUACCAUCAUGUAUACAGAUGUUCCAUGAGGAGGUUUGCUUGGAUCCCACGGCCCAGCAUUCCUGUUCAGCCUCAUUCUCCCUCUGAUCCAGCAUCGUUUCUGAGACCUGUCUCCCAGGUGGUCAUUUCUCUUCUCUCCUGUCUGGCAUCCGAUCCUAAGUAAACAAGUGACUAAUAUAAUCAUGAUGAUAGACUCAGAUUGUAUUUCAAGUGUUGUGUACACCGAGACAGUGUAUACAGAGAUAGAUCAUGUACACCGAGACUGUGUAUACAGAGAUAGAUCGUGUACACCAAGACAGUGUAUACAGAGAUAGAUCGUGUACACCGAGACAGUGUAUACAGAGAUAGAUCGUGUACACUGAGACUGUGUACAUUGAGACUGUGUAUACCAAGACUGUGUAUACAGAGAUUGUGUACACCAUGC
rnacentral:lncRNA from 1 species